ACUCCGGUAGCCCAAUGGCAGAGGCAGCGGCCUAGGAAGUCGUUCAGUGCGGGUUCGAUUCCCGCCCGGAGUA
rnacentral:tRNA from 1 species